rnacentral:rRNA from 1 species
UGGUGGAGCGAUUUGUCUGGUUAAUUCCGAUAACGAACGAGACUCUAGCCUAUUAAAUAGUUCGCCGAUCGCGUUACGUCGGUGUCAACUUCUUAGAGGGACAAGUGGCGUUUAGCCACGCGAGAUUGAGCAAUAACA